rnacentral:rRNA from 1 species
CGGACGGGUGAGUAACGCGUGGGCAACCUGCCUUACACAGGGGGACAACAGCUGGAAACGGCUGCUAAUACCGCAUAAGCGCACGGUCUCGCAUGAGACAGUGUGAAAAACUCCGGUGGUGUAAGAUGGGCCCGCGUCUGAUUAGCUGGUUGGUGGGGUAACGGCCUACCAAGGCGACGAUCAGUAGCCGACCUCGAGAGGGUGACCGGCCACAUUGGGACUGAGACACGGCCCAAACUCCUACGGGAGGCAGCAG